GACGUAGGGCGCGAGCGUUAUCCGGAAUUAUUGGGCGUAAAGAGCUCGUAGGCGGUUUGUCGCGUCUGCCGUGAAAGUCCGGGGCUCAACUCCGGAUCUGCGGUGGGUACGGGCAGACUAGAGUGCAGUAGGGGAGACUGGAAUUCCUGGUGUAGCGGUGAAAUGCGCAGAUAUCAGGAGGAACACCGAUGGCGAAGGCAGGUCUCUGGGCUGUAACUGACGCUGAGGAGCGAAAGCAUGGGGAGCGAACAGG
rnacentral:rRNA from 1 species